UACGUAGGGGGCAAGCGUUGUCCGGAUUUAUUGGGCGUAAAGAGCGUGUAGGCGGUUUGGUAGGUCCGCUGUGAAAACUCGAGGCUCAACCUCGAGACGCCGGUGGAAACCAUCAGACUAGAGUCCGGAAGAGGAGAGUGGAAUUCCGUGGUGUAGCGGUGAAAUGCGCAGAUAUCAGGAAGAACACCCGUGGCUAAGGCGGCUCUCUAGUACGGUACUGACGCUGAGACGCGAAAGCGUGGGAGCAAACAGG
rnacentral:rRNA from 1 species